AUCUAGAUAGUUUAAUUUAGAAUUAUAAUUUGUGGUGUUAUAGGUGUUUAUAUACUCUGGAUU
rnacentral:tRNA from 1 species